rnacentral:rRNA from 1 species
AAUAUUGUACAAUGGGGGCAACCCUGAUCCAGCCAUGCCGCGUGUGUGAAGAAGGUUUUCGGACUGUAAAGCACUUUAAGCUGGGAGGAAGGGCAGGAAGUUAAUACCUUGCUGUUUUGACGUUACCGACAGAAUAAGCACCGGCUAACUUCGUGCCAGCAGCUGCGGUAAUACGAAGGGUGCAAGCGUUAAUCGGAAUUAAUGGGCGUAACGCGCGCGUAGUGGGUUUUUUAAGUUGGAAGUGAAAGCCCCGGGCUCAACCUGGGAGCUGCUUUCAAAACUGGCAAGCUAGAGUAUGGCAGAGGGUGGUGGAAUUUCCUGUGUAGAGGUGAAAUGCGUAGAUAUAGGAAGGAACACCAGUGGCGAAGGCGACUACCUGGACUGAUACUGACACUGAGGUGCGAAAGCGUGGGGAGCAAAC